rnacentral:rRNA from 1 species
AGAGUUUGAUCCUGGCUCAGAACGAACGCUGGCGGCAGGCUUAACACAUGCAAGUCGAGCGCCCCGCAAGGGGAGCGGCAGACGGGUGAGUAACGCGUGGGAAUCUACCUAGCUCUACGGAAUAACCCAGGGAAACUUGGACUAAUACCGUAUACGUCCUUCGGGAGAAAGAUUUAUCGGAGUUAGAUGAGCCCGCGUUGGAUUAGCUAGUUGGUGGGGUAAUGGCCUACCAAGGCGACGAUCCAUAGCUGGUCUGAGAGGAUGAUCAGCCACACUGGGACUGAGACACGGCCCAGACUCCUACGGGAGGCAGCAGUGGGGAAUAUUGGACAAUGGGCGAAAGCCUGAUCCAGCCAUGCCGCGUGAGUGAUGAAGGCCCUAGGGUUGUAAAGCUCUUUCACCGGUGAAGAUAAUGACGGUAACCGGAGAAGAAGCCCCGGCUAACUUCGUGCCAGCAGCCGCGGUAAUAC